rnacentral:lncRNA from 1 species
GCUAAUCCAUAUGGCCAAAAUGGGCAACCAAGUGCUGAUCCCUAUGGCCAGCCUGCGCAGCCCAGUGCUAAUCCAUAUGGCCAAAAUGGGCAACCAAGUGCUAAUCCCUAUGGCCAGCCUGCGCAGCCCAGUGCUAAUCCAUAUGGCCAAAAUGGGCAACCAAGUGCUAAUCCCUAUGGCCAGCCUGCGCAGCCCAGUGCUAACCCAUAUGGCCAAAAUGGGCACUCAAGUGCUAAUCCCUAUGGCCAGCCUGUGCAGCCCAGUGCUAACCCAUACAGCCAAAACGGGCAGCCAAGUGCUAAUCCCUAUGGCCUGCCUGCGCCACCCAGUGCAAACCCAUAUGGCCAGUCAAGUGCUAAUCCCUAUGGCCAGCCAACACAACCAAAUGCUAUUCCUUAUGGUCAAUCUGCACAACCAAAUGCUAAUCCGUAUGGUCAACCUGCACAACCAAAUGCUAAUCCAUACAGCCAAC